UCCUUAAAAAUUGAAGAAUUACAGGAAUCUUUAUGGAAGAAAGAAGAGAAAAUGAAGCAAAUGGAAGAACGAUAUAAAAAAUACUUAGAGAAAGCCAAAAGUGUUAUCCGCACUUUAGAUCCUAAACAGAAUCAAGGAGCAGCACCAGAAAUACAGGCUCUUAAAAAUCAGCUCCAGGAACGGGACUGACUGUUCCAUUCAUUAGAGAAAGAAUAUGAGAAAAUGAAGAGUCAAAGAGAGAUGGAGGAGAAGUGUGUUGUUAGUGCCUGGUACAAUAUGGGAAUGAAUCUGCAUAAAAAGGCGGCUGAAGACAGACUUGCUAGUACAGGGUCAGGGCAGUCAUUUCUGGCCAGGCAGAGACAAGCCACCAGCACGAGAAGGUCUUACCCCGGCCAUGUCCAGCCAGCCACAGCAAGGUAGACGGUCUUGCCGUCAGAAUAAACACACCCUGCAUUCAAAACAUACUUCUGUUACAUAUAACAACAUUUCAGGAAAUUCAGCCAGCUUAUUUUUUGUCUCUAUUUUAUGUUAAUAUUUAGUUGUUUCUCAGUUGAGGACUUUCUCUCUCCUGUAUCUAUGUUUUAGUUUCUUGGUCCUUUAUUUUGUAGUCCUUUCAGUUCCUUUUAGUGUGCCAAAAAUUUUCUAAAUGCCCAAUUAAAAGUGUUGUAUACUAGUGUAGUACUUUUCUUUGUAUGAAAAUGUCCUUUCUUCAAUGCUGUAGGCUUUGUAAUGAAUUAGAUUUUCUGCCAAUAAUUGAUACAGUUUAUGUUCUUUAUUGUGCCUCUGUGUCAUCAUGCUUUAUAAGAAUGUCUUUGUUUAAAGGGAAUUAAUCUUUUUAUGAUGUAUUAAUCUGUGUUUUUGAUUAUUUUCCAAAUGCACUUCAAAUAACUUGCAUAUUUACUAUAUAAAAUGGUUGGCAAGUGCACUUUUUGCCAAGGUGACAAUGGUGGCAGAGGUGCUCAUCAGGUCUCACCUAAGGCACCACGUCAAAGUAUUUAAAAGGAAAAAUGAGUUUUCACAUUCUUUUAUAGGAAAUUAAAUUUGUCCAAAGAUUUGGAAACUAUUUUUAAAACAUUAUAUACACAAAAUUUCAUUAUUUCCUGCUAUCUUGUUUGCUGGCAGAAGUGAAUGCAUUGGUUGAGUUACUUGGGGGGAAUUACAGAAGAAAAAAAAUCAGGCCGUGCAGUAAUUUUUCUUGUUUUUUUUAUAUCACAGUAACUGCAGAUCAAAUUCUAGCAAUGCGGCUGACAUUUAUAGUUUCAGUUGCCUUCCACAACUCAGAGAUUUAUUUUUCAUAUGCUUACAAGUCACAGGUAGCCUUACGUUGGGGGCAGUUUCCAUGUUGAUUGCUACUCUUCUGUUUUACUUAUUCCUCAGCAUAAACUCUUCUUUCUCAAUAAUUGCUUCAUAUCAGGUAUUAAGAUCAGUAAGUGACUUCUUGUAUGUGAUGUUAGUUUUUUUCUUAAUUCUGUGUGCUAGUCCAAUAAUUUGCUACUGAAUAGAUUCUCUUGAGUAUUUGGUUGACUCAAAGUGCUUAAGACUUGUUGAUAGAUUGUAAACCAUGUUUAUUUACAUUAAUGAAUGGCUAAUAAUAAUUGUAAAGCACUUUGACUACAUGAGGUGCUAUUUAAGUGCAAAAUACUCAUUUGAAAAUGAAAUGCCUCUGCCUGACUUUCCA